rnacentral:tRNA from 1 species
GCCGACUUAGUUCGCAAAUAGAGUAACUGGCCUGUAAUCAGCAGGUCACCAGUUUGUUUCUGGUAGUCGGCA